UAUUUUUCAUACUUCAUCACAAAUUCUCUUUCAUUUUCUUGCAUUCCUCCCAGCUGAUGUGGUGCUAAAAAUUAGGGCUUAUCUUUACAAAAUUAUCAAUUCGCAUACGUUGCUGCUUUACCGGUUGUUCAUCAUUUGCACAAAUGAAUAUAAAAGGGGGAUUAACAGAUGAAAUUCGAAUCUCGAAGAUUUGAAGGCAAAGGCUUCCUUGGUAUCUUUUCUAAGCUCUACUGCACAUGCAUCAAAGCAUUUUCAUUAAUGUGCUUUGGUAUUUCAGUAAGAAAUAAAUUUACUUGAAUCAAAAUUUCUUCCUUCAUGUGCUUUAUUUUAUUCCACUAAGAAACCUACAAAUGGAAUGUUGGUUGUUAGUGGGUCUUUCAAGCAUUAAGGUAACACUCUUUAAAUGGAAAAUUUGUCUUUCGUAUAAAUCUUGCUAUGCAAAAAUUUUAAAUUUGAAUUAUCCAUGUUGAAUUUCUUCUUUUCCAAAUUGGCAAGUGAAAUCAGUGCAAGGUCUAAUCUAUAACAUUACUGUUCACUUUUACAUUCCAGAUGAGAAUAUUAUGGGUGUCAAUGAUCGAGGUGAGAGUUCAACCAACGUACAAGUCAAUGUUCAGAUAUGAAAUUUUUUAUUUAAUAUCA